UGCCGGGCAACAGAAUGUCAAUUCGCUUUAUAAUAAUUGUCUAGAUCGGAGUAGAGUUUUUGCUUGUGUGUGCAGGAUUAACUACGAUAACGACGAAGACAUAAAGCAAAACAAAGUGUCGGAGUCAAGCACGAAGGAUUCAUUGGGAGUUCGAGAGUUCGACGGAAGUCCGAAGGUUCGUCGGGAAUGCUGCCGGAACUAGCC
rnacentral:lncRNA from 1 species